GCCUAUCUCCUCAAUGCAAACCUCUUUACUAGCAAAAAAAAAAAAAAAAGGAAAAGGUGGGGAAAAGCAACCCUUCCUUGGUUCUCAGCUUGACCGGAACUCUUCUCUGACUCACACGGUCCAGACCAGCUAACCUAUAAUUCUCUCCUGUCUUGCAUUUCAUCAUUUCAGGGCUUUUUCAGUGCGUUCCCAGAUAGGGUAUGAUCCCUCCAGGGACCUUCAUGUCCCCUCCCUGUAGGAGAAGGAAAGGAGUCCCUUUCAGAAGAAUCGAGGGGCGUGUCUGUGGACUUGGUGGUUCCACCCGCUCACUUCUCACCGCCCUGCAGCCGUGCCACAGCCGAGCCCUGACUUGUGUGUCCCGCCCACACCUCUUCCUGCUCAGUUGUCCUCAGUGCAUGUCUUUUCCCUGUGCCAUGUGCUCUGCUUUUUCUCGCCUCUGCUGGCUUCUUGAUGCAAAUUUAAUCCACAGAGGAAUUUCCUCGCUGGCACCUACUCAAGGAGAAAGCCACUCUCUCUCUGCAGCCUGGCUGCUGUCUGCUCCGUGUUGUAAGGACAGAGGUAGUCCCGGGGGACCGGAGGGACCGGAGCGGUCACACAUAUUCAGAGACACUCAAGCACUUUCAGUUUUCGGUACACUGUAUUGCCUCCUGACGCUUCCCACAAUCAGAGCCAGCCAAGUCCAUGGAUUUGCCAGCGCUCAUUCUGAAGUGAGAAGGACCAAGAGUGGCCAGCUUUGCUGAGAGAAGCCACCCGUGAGAUGCCGCGGAGCAGGGGACGGAGGCAGCACAGGCCGGUGGUGCCACCUAGGGGAAGAAGUGUCCCCGGCUGGCUGCUGGCACAAAGACUCCUCCGUGCAAGUCAACCUCGUUUAUAAAACCCAGGAUUCACUUUCAGGAUAAAAAACGAGGUGAAGAGAAAGGGAAAGGGAGUCAUUGUUCGCGUGGUGAAAAUGACUUCAAUGAUUUCUCAUUUUACAAAGGCAUUCCCUCCAGAGUACCUCAAAACACGUAUGCUCCCAUCCUACCUUUUAAGUGAUUUGAUUUAGUAAAAAAUUACAAUUUUUUCCCACGAAGCUAGAAGAGAUGGCACUUAUUUAUGUCGGGUGAGGAAAAAACGAAAACCGAAGAGUAUCGAUAGGAGGAAAAAUUGUUCUCUUUCCUUGUUUGGAUCCGUCUUGGACAGAGGCCACUAAUUCUUGAUCCAUGCCACUUACACGCCAGUGACUUACAGAUCUGGCUCCACCCCACGCACCAGAGUCCCUCACCCGAGGGCCCAUCCGGCAUCUGAACGAACUACCGAACCCCCCUGACCUGCUUCACUCACAGCGUUCCCAUCCCAGCGGCUGAGAAGCCCAGGCGUCAUCCUCGACUCCUUUCUCUGCCAACCAACAGCCAAUCCGUGAGGAAAUCUCAAAUUUCCGUCUUCAGAGUAUGAGCAGAGUCUGACAACCUCUCACUGCCCUGUUGCUGCCUCCAGCUCCGAGACACCGUUAUUUCCUGGCCUGAAUUAUUGCAGGAGCCUCCUAACUGGCCUCCAGCUCUGUUCCUCCACAGUUCAUUUCAGUAGGGCAGAAUGAGGUCUGUCCUUGACUCCAAAGCCUGCGGUGCGUCCGAUUUACUGAGAAUAAAAGCCCAAGUCCCUACA
ensembl:lncRNA